CCCUUAGAUGUUCUGGGCAGCACGCGCGCUACAAUGGUCUUCGCAAACGGAUGCAUUCUCGAAGGAGAAUGCCAAUCUUGGAAUCUAUGCCUUGGUCGGGACAGUUGCUUGCAAUUUUUCGACUCGAACCAGGAAUUCCUUGUAAUCGUGAUUCAUCACAUCACGAUGAAUACGUCCCUGCCCUUUGUACACACCGCCCGUCGCUCCUACCGAUCGAAGAGUUAGGUGAAUUGUUUUGAUCGAUAAGAUUUGACUAUGGUCAACUCUCGUUGUGAAAUUCUGUGAAUCUUACUGUUUAGAGGAAGGAAAAGUCGUAACA
rnacentral:rRNA from 1 species